AAUAAGCAAUCAAACUCAUAGAACUACCUUGCACAACAAUUGUAGACAAAAGAUAAUUACAUAAAUCAUUUAGAACUCGAAAACAUAUUUUCAAUGUCAAAUUAUGUAAAAUAAAAUAUUAUAAACUUAUAUUACAAGGUUCAUCAUUCUCCUAACACAAAGAAAUCUAGCCUAACAUGUCGUGAAGAAGAAAACAAAAGAUAUGAAAAUUGUUCAUCAUCCGAAAAAUCUUGAAUUCAAUUUUAGUGUUCUUGAAUCUCGAUGUGUUCUUUACCUCCUUUUGCAAUUGAUUCUCCACAACCCUAAUUAUGUGUUGGGAAUUGAUAUUUUCAAUAUGUGCCGCCCAAGGAGAUGUUUCCCUUUUGGAUUGAAAUUCUGAAUAAAAAUCAGUUUUUCCGUCACGAUUGGCUUGGGUAGUCGCUCAGACAUUUUUUUUUUGCCUUUAUUGUCCAUUUUCAUGGCUGAGCGAUCGCCUGACCAAUAUAACUAGGCAGUCGCCUAGUUAUGUUGGCUUUCAAAUUUUGCAUUUUAAUUCCCGAAUUCAACUAUUGAUUUUUUAAAAUUAUUUUCUCUUGCAAUUUCAAUCCUUCAACUUCUAAUUGCAUCCACAUCUUUAAUCUUCAUAUUAUGAUCCGAAUCAACUUUUAGAAUGUUGUAAUUUAGCCCUCAUACUUUGAAUUUUAUGCUUUUUCUUUUCCAAUUGCUCAGAAACAAGUCCAUCACUGAAAUAAACGAAAAUUUAGCCAAGUUAAAUAAAUGUCAACACUUUCAUAACAUAAAAGCUUAGUAAUAUGGUCUAAAUAGUACACAAAAUGUACUUAACAGAGUCGAACUUAUUUGUUGGAGUCAACCCCAUAUGGAGAAUCAAACCCUUAUGGACGGGACGAAGCUACAAGGGACUUAGUAGGAGAUCUUUUAAGCAAUUCUCAGUAAGCGAUUAAUGUGACAAUUCACUACUACUGUCGCCCUAUUCAGCCAAGCAGGGCAAGUCUAAAUCAUGUGUCGGACUUUUGGGCAACAAAAUGAUAUUAGCAUUCAAUGUCUGCGAUUGAUUGAUACCUUUGAUAAGAGGCCUCAACCACAUGGAUGAGGCCAUGGAUACAUUCAUUCAAUAGUCAGUAAUGUGUCAUUCCAAAAUGUAAUGCAAGUUUAGACUCUUAAGCUAUAACUUUGCUCUCGUCUCUAUUAUAUAUUUUUUCCAAAGCCAAACCAUUUUUUACAUAAGCGGCUCACGUCUAAAGUACAUCUCACACGCAAAUACAUUUCACUUCAACUGACUUGACCAUUGGAGUGUGCUCAGCCUACUCUAUUACCACCGAAGGAAGUCAGAUGUGGCUAACGGGUUGUCCUAGUAUGCAGAAGCAGGAUGUAAGUAGGAGGCCUUAGGAUCUGUUGACCUCGAUUUUGGUAUGGAAUUUCAUCUUGUUCAUUACGACAAAGUAAUCUCCAUAUGAACAAAUAUCGCAGGUUGAUUCAAAUCUCCAUAGUAAAAUGGUAAAUAAUUUUACUUACUGAAUUAUACGUUCAUAUAAAUUAUACUUGUUUCAUACCAUUUGUGUAAAUUUAGAAAUCUCUUAAAGCGGAUGAAAGUGAUCUUUUCCAAUCUACCCUCAUGUUUCAAUAAAGAACAAGCACUGUGGAUGCUCACAUUCAGUUGACUUUCAAAUUGUUCCAUCCUUCCAUGGCAUCUACUGGAGUGAUGAGACAACAAUGAGUAUUCCUUGAGGAUAGAAGUAAAACUUUAUCUUUCUUCUAAUAUUUAGAUUAAUACAAUAACAAAUAUCAAUAUCUUUACAAAUAUCUACUGUCUCUAUGAUUUAAUUUCUCAAAUGAUGUUCGAUGAUCGUUGACAUUUUAUUGCAUGUUAUAUACAAACAAGUCCAUCCCUGUAAUAGCAAACACUGAACUGAAAAUAUUAUGUACGAGAAUCUAACACAUUCAAAACACUAACAACACCUUCAAAAUAACUUAUCCCGUGCAAUAAUCUUUUUAUUGAGUUUCUAAAAACUUUCUUAGAGUAUUUGCAUAAUUUUAAAAUUUGGCCAAAAAGCAAAUGUUUACAUUCUAAAAGUUUGGCUCUUGUGGUUGAGACUGAUGAUCCGGCACUCAUAAUAUUUAUAGAGUCAUAUUUUAAAUAUAUUAUUUAAAAUCAAUUGAUGUUCAAUAAAGAAAGGCUAAGAAGGGGGUAUCUUCAAUCAAGAUUGUGAUAUAUUUUAAAAAUCAUUCUAAAUUUAAGUGUCUCCAAUUGAGGUUUUAAUGAAAUUCAUUAAAAUAUAGAUGUCUUUACUGAUAUUUUAAUGAAUUUCAAUAAAAUUCUUCAAAAUUUAGGUGUCUUCAAUAACUAGUGGAUUUCAUUGAUAAAUGAAUUUUAAAAGAUUUGGAUGGAUUUCAAACUGAAAAAUACAUAUAACAAAAUCUUUCAAAAUUUCACCAUAUUCGACGAGAUUCUUAUGGAUUUUGUGGAAAUAUAUUCAAAUUCACAAAAUUUAUUAUCCUUCAAAAUCCAUCAAAAUCUUCCUCGAGGAUAACUCUUUAAACAUUUUAUAACAUUUAAUUACAAUAAUGUGAAUGACUUAAUCUCUAGGUUUUAGAGUAUUGAUUUUUGAGAUAUGCUUAAAAUAAAAUUUUUUUUAUUUAUUUUGAAAAGUUUUGUUGGCCUCAAAAAAUGUACCUCCGACGUGGUCAACAGAUUCCAAAGCCUCUCACAUCUAUGCA
rnacentral:lncRNA from 1 species